AUCCAGCUGACGAGUCAUAAAUACUACGAAACGCGUGUACUGGAU
rnacentral:hammerhead_ribozyme from 1 species